rnacentral:rRNA from 1 species
GACGAACGCUGGCGGCGUGCUUAACACAUGCAAGUCGAACGGAAAGGCCCUGCUUUUGUGGGGUGCUCGAGUGGCGAACGGGUGAGUAACACGUGAGUAACCUGCCCUUGACUUUGGGAUAACUUCAGGAAACUGGGGCUAAUACCGGAUAGGAGCUCCUGCUGCAUGGUGGUGGUUGGAAAGUUUCGGCGGUUGGGGAUGGACUCGCGGCUUAUCAGCUUGUUGGUGGGGUAGUGGCUUACCAAGGCUUUGACGGGUAGCCGGCCUGAGAGGGUGACCGGCGACAUUGGGACUGAGAUACGGCCCAGACGCCUACGGGAGGCAGCAGUGGGGAAUAUUGCACAAUGGGCGGAAGCCUGAUGCAGCAACGCCGCGUGCGGGAUGACGGCCUUCGGGUUGUAAAACGCUUUCGCCUGUGACGAAGCGUGAGUGACGGUAAUGGGUAAAGAAGCACCGGCUAACUACGUG